CAAGCUUCCGCAGAAAUGGGUUUUGUUGGGAGUCUCACUGAGCAGGAUUUUGGGAUGCUUGAGUGGAGAAAAGAGUGGUUUCCUGGGAAAUUUUGGAGAAAUGGGUUAUAAAGUUGAGAUGAUAGCAAGAACUUCCUUCUACUAGUGGUAGUGGGUGAUGAUGUAGGACUCUGCAAAGGCAAAAUCAAGUUGAAUUAGAGAAGAAUCGACAUGGGUUUAUCAGCUUAAAG
rnacentral:misc_RNA from 1 species